CUUCCUUAGUUUUCUUCCUUAUGUUACCAUUGUUUGUUUUACUUCACCUCGAUAUAAACAAAUUACUUAUUAUAAUUUAUCUAUGAAAUCCUAUUGAACUCAAUCUUUGUAGAAUUAAGUAAUUUUAUCAACUUCAUAUUUUAUCUACGUCUGAUACUUCUCAUUCUAUGUAUAGGUAAUAAUGUAAUAGUUAUUUUCAUAAUACUAUCCUAUCAUAAUUGUACUCCAUGUGUUAUAUUGUUAUAAGUACUCUCUUUUGGUAUUAAUACUUAUAACUGUUAAAUAACUUUUCAUUGUCUGUUUUCUUCAUUAAUAUUUAGGAAUAUAUAUGUAUGUUAGUGUCAAUCUUUUAUUUCUUUGUAAGUCUGUUAAUCUUCUGUAUCGAAUGAACUCUGUAG